GAUCAUUAUUGAGAUUAUUCUUUAACUCGUGAACGUAUUAUGCUUCGGUGCGAAGUUUCGCACCGAAAUUUUUAACGCGUAUAAUUGUCUGAUAGACCAAAUAAGUUUUAAAACUUUCAACAACGGAUCUCUUGGUUCUCGCAUCGAUGAAGAACGCAGCGAAGCGCGAUAGGUAUUGUGAAUUGCAGAAUUGUGAAUCAUCGAAUUUUUGAACGCACAUUGCACCCAUUGGUAUUCCGAUGGGUAUACUUGUUUGAGCGUCAUUUCAUUCUCCUUUUGGGGUUUUAGCUUGAUUUAAAUCUUGCUGAAUUAUAGUGGUGUCGCUACCAGACUACAACGUGAUAGAUAUUUCGUUGGAUGUGACUGGGGAUUGCUCACCUUAAAACUAGAGUAUAGACCUCAAAUCAAGCAGGACUACCCGCUGAACUUAAGCAUAUCAAUAAGCGGAGGAAAAGAAACCAACCGGGAUUGCCUCAGUAACGGCGAGUGAAGCGGCAAAAGCUCAAAUUUGAAAUCUGGCUCCUUUUGGGGUCCGAGUUGUAAUUUGAAGAUGGUAUUCUGGUGCUGGUCCAGGCAUAUGUCCCUUGGAACAGGGCGGCAUAGAGGGUGAGACUCCCGUUUUGCUUGGUAGCCGGUGCUGUGUAGAAUGCUUUCGAAGAGUCGAGUUGUUUGGGAAUGCAGCUCUAAGUGGGUGGUAAAUUCCAUCUAAAGCUAAAUAUUGGCGAGAGACCGAUAGCGAACAAGUACAGUGAUGGAAAGAUGAAAAGAACUUUGAAAAGAGAGUGAAAAAGUACGUGAAAUUGUUGAAAGGGAAGGGCUUGAGAUCAGACUUGGUUAGUAGUGAUCAGCUACCUCUUGGGGUGGUGCACUCGCUAUUUACUAGGCCAGCAUCGGUUUUGGAGGUGGGAUAAUGGUACAAGAAUGUGGCUCCUUGGAGUGUUAUAGCUUGUAUUGAUACCACCAUCUGGGACCCGAGGACGGC
rnacentral:rRNA from 1 species